AUACGGAGGGAGCAAGCGUUGUUCGGAAUCACUGGGCGUAAAGCGAGUGUAGGUUGUCAGGUAAGUAGGAUGUGAAAGCCCGGGGCUCAACCCCGGAAUUGCAUUCUAAACUGCCUGGCUAGAGUCCCGGAGAGGGAGGUGGAAUUCCGAGUGUAGAGGUGAAAUUCGUAGAUAUUCGGAGGAACACCAGAGGCGAAGGCGACCUCCUGGACGGUGACUGACACUGAGACUCGAAAGCGUGGGGAGCAAACAGGAUUAGAAACCCUGGUAGUCC
rnacentral:rRNA from 1 species